rnacentral:rRNA from 1 species
AGCAGCCGCGGUAAUUCCAGCUCCAAUAGCGUAUAUUAAAGUUGUUGCAGUUAAAAGCUCGUAGUUGAAUUUCGGGAUCAAUUAGUCGGUCGUGCCUCUGGUACGUACUGGUUUUAUUGGUUCCUCCCUUCUGACGAAACAUGAUGUCAUUAAUUUAGUGUCGUGGAGAAUCAGGACUGUUACCUUGAAAAAUUGAGUGUUUAUAGCAGGCUAGCGCUUGAAUACAUUAGCAUGGAAUAAUGAAAUAGGACGUUCGACCCUAUUUUGUUGGUUUCUAGGAUCGACGUAAUGAUUAAUAGGGAUAGUUGGGGGCAUUAGUAUUCAAUUGUCAGAGGUGAAAUUCUUGGAUUUAUUGAAGACUAACUACUGCGAAAGCAUUUGCCAAGGAUGUUUUCAUUAAUCAAGAACGAAAGUUAGGGAUCG